AUACCAUGGAGGCAUGGAAGAAAGUGGAGUGGAUUUAUUUGCAGUAGUCUUUGUUAGAGAAAACCUCCUAAUUUUCCAGGAGGAAAUGAAGUUCACACACAUUUCCUUCACAAAAAGGCAGCAGAAAAUACCAUAAGCCUGUGAGACUGGGAAUGCACCAUGGAAACAAACAGCACCCUGGCAAAAUAAAGAGAUGUUUCCUCAAUGGAGCUCCAUUGAAAAGCUCAGCAGAGUUCCUUCUGAACCCUGCGGGAAGGGAUACUCCAAACUUCUCAAAGAGAAAUGCACACCGAAGUGGGGAAUUAAACGGUAUCACCGUGCUUUGCUGUAAAACAAAGAAGGCUUUUAGGAGAGUCUUGAGUCGAAGUGUCUCUUUUGUUCUACUCUUCAUGAAAGCAAUGCUGCUUGGAAGACAAAGAUCAGUUUUGGUGGGUGCAGAAGCCCUGGAAGUGUGGACUGACCUAUAAACAUACACGUACCUGCACACAGAGAACAAUUUCAGCUGUGUGAGGGCCUUUCUGGUGGCACCUGCUCUGUUUCCAUGGCUUCUGCAGAGGCUUCUCUGUAAGCUGCACAAAGCAGGUGCUGCAGGUUAUCUCUGGGAUUAGGAGUUAGAAGGAGCCCCUCUGAACACGGACCCAGGAGAUCAUGGUGCUGGAGUCCACAGUCAAACACCUCACUCCAGAAAAUCCUGUUCUUCUCUAAGUUGCUGUGAAUGAGGCAAAGUCUUUUCCUUGGUGGGCCGAUGUUUGACUCAUCUCCAUGGCUGUUCCCCUCCAAAGGAUACUCCUUUCUAUUAAGGUCAUCCUGCUGUAAGCAGAUGUGGUGCUCUGUGGUUGAAGUGCAGCAUCUCAUCUGCACACCCUUCUCUGGCAGAGGCUGAACCAGGGAGUGGCAGCAAGCAAUGGAAAGAGAGGCUUCAGUGAGGGAGCUCUGAAGCUGGCCAUGAGCACUCAGCAGGGAGGAGGGAGGCAAAAAAGUUGUGGAAAAACCAAGUGUGAGGACCCCAUCACCUUCUGCAACACUCUGCCCUGACAUUUCUCUGUGAAAUGUCAUUUUCAAGUGGCGUUUCCAACCACACAUCUUUCUGUUUACGUUUCUUCCCAUCUUUCUGCAAAUCCUCCCUGGAGAAUGCAUGGACAUUACCGGGGUUCUGAGAAGCCUGGUGGUUUGUUUUCCCUGCGAAGCUGUUCCCCUCCCUCCCUGAAUCAGCUGCAUUCCCUCGGGAAUGCUCCUUCCUCCCCCUUUGCUGCCGUGAUCUCUUUGGGCUGUGGCUGCUCUCAGCCGUGUGCUGCAGCAGCCGUGGCUCUUCUCUGCUGCAGCAAGUGCUGCCUCCUGACACUGCCUCCCCUGGGGGAUCAUUAGCAGGGUGGAGGCUCUUUACUUUCCUAGAAACAGGAAGAGAAGAAGAGCCUGAGAGAUGGGAGGCCUAAACAAUCUAGAAUUAGAUUACAGUAUGAACUCCAUGACAUCAGCUCCCUUCAGUCUUCCCACCCAUUGCCUUUCUCACGGCAUUUCUGCUUAGGCUGAUCAGCAU